rnacentral:rRNA from 1 species
AUUGAACGCUGGCGGCAGGCCUAACACAUGCAAGUCGAGCGGAUGAAGGGAGCUUGCUCCUGGAUUCAGCGGCGGACGGGUGAGUAAUGCCUAGGAAUCUGCCUGGUAGUGGGGGAUAACGUCCGGAAACGGGCGCUAAUACCGCAUACGUCCUGUGGGAGAAAGUGGGGGAUCUUCGGACCGCACGCUAUCAGAUGAGCCUAGGUCGGAUUAGCUAGUUGGUGGGGUAACGGCCUACCAAGGCGACGAUCCGUAACUGGUCUGAGAGGAUGAUCAGUCACACUGGAACUGAGACACGGUCCAGACUCCUACGGGAGGCAGCAGUGGGGAAUAUUGGACGAUGGGCGAAAGCCUGAUCCAGCCAUGCCGCGUGUGUGAAGAAGGUCUUCGGAUUGUAAAGCACUUUAAGUUGGGAGGAAGGGCAGUAAGUUAAUACCUUGCUGUUUUGACGGUACCAACAGAAUAAGCACCGGCUAACUUCGUG